rnacentral:rRNA from 1 species
UACUACUCGGAUAACCGUAGUAAAGCUAGAGCUAAUACGUUCCAUUGCAGCGCGAGUAAUCCGCUCGUGGUACUAAGUAUUAGGUACAACCCAGAUUUUUCUGGUGAUUCAUACUUAUCUUCUGAUCGAACUUCGUGUUCGACGCCUCGAUUAAAUUUCUGACCUAUCAACUAUGAUGGUAAGGUAGGGUCUUACCAUGGUUGUGACGGGUAACGGACCGUGGGUGCGGGAUUCCGGAGAGGGAGCCUGAGAAACGGCUACCACAUCCAAGGAAGGCAGCAGGCGCGCAACUUACCCAAUCCGAACUUCGGGAGGUAGUGACAAAAAAUAUCAAUAGGGGGACCAAUGGUCUUCCUAAUUGGAAUGAAAACAAUGUAAACACCUUAUUGAGGAACCAGCAGAGGGCAAGUCUGGUGCCAGCAGCCGCGGUAAUUCCAGCUCUGUAAGCGUAUACCAAAGUUGUUGCAGUUAAAACGCUCGUAGUCGGAUUUUGGCGUGGUGCUUCUGAGGUCCCUGAUUGGUACUGAAGGUAGUCCCGCCUUUGUGGAUGGGGGCGUGGUGGUGCUUAACUGUAUUGCCGCGUUUCCGCCACUGUUUACUGUGAAAAAAUUAGAGUGUUCAAAGCGAGCGAUUGCCAUGAAUACAUUAGCAUGGAAUAAUAGAAUAGGACCUGAUCCUGUUUUGUUGGUUUGUCGGUAUUAGGUAAUGAUUAAGAGGGACGGUCGGGGGCAUUUGUAUUCCAGGGUUAGAGGUGAAAUUCUUGGAUCCUUGGAAGACAAACAGCUGCGAAAGCGUCUGCCAAGGACGUUUUCAUUGAUCAAGAACGAAAGUAAGGGGAUCGAAGACGAUCAGAUACCGUCGUAGUCUUUACUAUAAACUAUGUGAUCUGGGGAUUAGCCGAGGCCUAUUUGGUUCGGUUAGCACCCUCCGGGAAACCAAAGAUUUUGCAUUCUGGGGGGAGUAUGGUCGCAAGUCUGAAACUUAAAGGAAUUGACGGAAGGGCAUCACCGGGUGUGGAGCCUGCGGCUUAAUUUGACUCAACACGGGAAAACUUACCAGGUCCAGACAUAAUAAGGAUUGACAGAUUGAGAGCUCUUUCUUGAUUCUAUGGUUGGUGGUGCAUGGCCGUUCUUAGUUGGUGGAGUGAUCUGUCUGGUUAAUUCCGUUAACGAGCGAGACCUGGGCGUGCUAAAUAGGGUUCAUUAUUCUUGUAAUAGUGAUUCAACCCUUCUUAGACGGACUGUAGGCUUUUAGCCUAUGGAAGCUCC